rfam:Saprolegnia diclina VS20 unplaced genomic scaffold supercont1.37, whole genome shotgun sequence.
ACCGGGUUGCGUGGCGGCAACUUGUAACAGCAAGCUUCUGGCUGGGUAGAGUUCUUCAAGGGGUAUGUCACUGUAGUCAGGGAUCUAUCCACGCCAUGUGGAGGGGUCGCCCAUCCCAAACCAGGAGUAAACAUUGGGCAGUAUCCGGAUGGAUCGCUGUCCGAGGUUUCUAAGGAAGUGUGCAACGCCUCAGGCUGGAUAACAGAGCAGGGAAAAGCACUCGCUCUUGGUAGUGGGAGGAACACGGCCCUGAAUGGCGAUGGUCUCUAACUCCAGGUACUGGUGUACUUCGAAGAGAAACUCGA